AAGCGACAGGGCGGGCAGCAGCGUCUCCUCCCCCCGCCCUCAUCCCUAUUGCCGCCGCCGGGUCCUCUCCUCUUCCUAUCGGUGCGAGUGGGCGGGUCGCGGCUUGCGGAGAGCGAGGAGAGGGAGGAGACAGAUGCGUGAGGAGGAGGAGGCCACGGCCGUCGGCUCCUCUCCUCUCCCCGUCGGCGCCAGCGCGCUGGUCGCGGGGAGUGAGGAGAGCGAGGAGAGGGAGGGGGAAGAUGCGUGAGGAGGAGGACCAGGCGGUGGCGCGGCAGCCAGAUCCGAGGCGCGUGGGCGCGGAGGCAGCCGCGGUGGGCUCCGGCCUCUUCUUCACGCACGGCGGCAGGAGCAGCUCCACCUCUCCACUCCCCCACGCGUGAGCCCUCCACAACCCCACCCACCACACCGAGGCGGCGUCCAGAGGCGGUCGGCGGUGGCGCAGGUUCUGAUAAAUGGUUGAAGCAAAGGAGGAGGCGUACUGAUGGAAGCUGGCAGCAAAAUCAGGUGAGACUGGAUAGCCCGUCCCAAGUGCGCAUGACCUCUCCGUCCUCGAGCCCUUCUUCUCCUCUCUCCGCGCCGUCUCGCCUCCCCUGCUCUCGCACCGCCACCUUCCCUGCUCGGCGCUCGAGGCGCCAUGAUUUUGGAUCGGGCGGAUAUCUUCACCAGGAGAGUAGGAGCACUUGCUGUUAAUAUGAACGAUCUCUCACUAAGUUUUUGUUAUGGCGUUGUGUGCCGAUUCAUGAUUUAAACACGCAAAAUGUCUGGUUUGCAUAUUUGUGCCUAGCCCUGUUACCAGCAGUGUAUUUUUUGCCGUAAGAAAGACAACAAUGCUUUAUUUCUUUGACUUUUUGACCGUGUCUAAUUUCUGGUAAAAGAGAGGAAUUUCAGAGAGAUAGACAACCUGAAGAGCUUUGAAUGGUUGUUCGAGUGUGCCGCCAGCCUCCUCGCCGCUGCUGUUGCGUAGCUGGCACCGGUGUGUGGCUACUGCCGAGAUAAGCGCAGUUUACUCCAGGUUUGGUGAUGGUGUUGAACAACACCUUAACUGGGCCAAGGAAUUUAGUAGCAUUGUGGGAUCAUAAACCAGUUUUUCUGUUCUCUGUGCUCACAUAGUAAGAACAUGCUUGCAAGUUCUUUUCCUUAGGUGUAAUUUCUUUUGCUGAGAUAGAUUAAGCCUGGGUUGAGGUGGCUGCUGUGUGCCGGUUGCCAGUACUUGUUUGUUGUAAUGUCUUACCCAGUGAGAUUUCUUUUAUUCUUGCCUAUUUUCAGAGGUUCUGCUUGAAGAUUCUCUAAUCACUUUCUUUGGAACUUUUUGCUGAGAUAUGCUUCCAGGUUACUUCAAUGUUACCAGACUUAAAAUGUACUAUCUAGCAUACUAGCACGUGUGUAUAUGAUGCCUCCUUUUAUCCUUGAAUGUAAGACACAUGGUGUUUUGUUCCAUUGUUAUGCUUAACGGAAGUGAUGUUCUGUUAUCAUAUUCAAAACUAUAGCUCUUUGUUUGCAGUAUCUCGGAGGGAGCAAUAUUUUGAUACUUGCUUUAUAGGAAUUCUCUUUCUUUGCCUAGAAUUUGUGAUUUAUGGCUGAUGUCAAUUCCACCUUUGUAGGUGUUUCUCAAUUAUUACUAAUGUUGAAACUGCAGAGGAGCAGGAGAUGAGGAGGGCCCCACUUGGUGUACAAUGGUGAAUGAUGCGGCAGUUAGACCGGGAGAUGAGGAGCGCGGCACUGGGUGUACGAAGGAUUAGUAGGAAGAAUGUUAAUCACAGUGGGUGAAAAGGUAUACGAAAAUGCGAGCUCGGCUGAUUGCAUACUGUUUGGUUGAGUUGUUUUUUCCUAAAGAUACAAUCAAGCGGAAGAUUUCUUUUGUAUGGAAAUUCACCAUGGGAAUCAAAAUAAUGGUACUCUGCACAGCCUUUACUUUCUUGCAUCGAUUCUUCAUUCUACAAGUCACACCUUUUCUAUUUGGUAAAAGAAGAGUGAGCUCAUGCUUGAACUUCCACUAUAUAUGUUAACACUUGGAUACUGUAUCAAUCCAGUAAUCAUCUGAUCCUUCAUUGUUUU